rnacentral:rRNA from 1 species
UACGGAGGGGGCUAGCGUUGUUCGGAAUUACUGGGCGUAAAGCGCACGUAGGCGGCUUUGUAAGUUAGAGGUGAAAGCCCAGGGCUUAACCCUGGAAUUGCCUUUAAGACUGCAUCGCUAGAAUCGUGGAGAGGUGAGUGGAACUGCGAGUGUAGAGGUGAAAUUCGUAGAUAUUCGCAAGAACACCAGUGGCGAAGGCGGCUCACUGGCCCGAUAACUGACGCUGAGGCACGGAAAGCGUGGGGAGCAAACAGG